rnacentral:rRNA from 1 species
ACGCUGGCGGCGUGCCUAAUACAUGCAAGUAGAACGCUGAAGGGAGGAGCUUGCUCUUCUUGGAUGAGUUGCGAACGGGUGAGUAACGCGUAGGUAACCUGCCUUGUAGCGGGGGAUAACUAUUGGAAACGAUAGCUAAUACCGCAUAACAAUGGGUGACACAUGUCAUUUAUUUGAAAGAGGCAAUUGCUCCACUACAAGAUGGACCUGCGUUGUAUUAGCUAGUAGGUGAGGUAACGGCUCACCUAGGCGACGAUACAUAGCCGACCUGAGAGGGUGAUCGGCCACACUGGGACUGAGACACGGCCCAGACUCCUACGGGAGGCAGCAGUAGGGAAUCUUCGGCAAUGGGGGCAACCCUGACCGAGCAACGCCGCGUGAGUGAAGAAGGUUUUCGGAUCGUAAAGCUCUGUUGUAAGUCAAGAACGAGUGUGAGAGUGGAAAGUUCACACUGUGACGGUAGCUUACCAGAAAGGGACGGCUAACUACGUGCCAGCAGCCGCGGUAAUACGUAGGUCCCGAGCGUUGUCCGGAUUUAUUGGGCGUAAAGCGAGCGCAGGCGGUUUGAUAAGUCUGAAGUUAAAGGCUGUGGCUCAACCAUAGUUCGCUUUGGAAACUGUCAAACUUGAGUGCAGAAGGGGAGAGUGGAAUUCCAUGUGUAGCGGUGAAAUGCGUAGAUAUAUGGAGGAACACCGGUGGCGAAAGCGGCUCUCUGGUCUGUAACUGACGCUGAGGCUCGAAAGCGUGGGGAGCGAACAGGAUUAGAUACCCUGGUAGUCCACGCCGUAAACGAUGAGUGCUAGGUGUUGGAUCCUUUCCGGGAUUCAGUGCCGCAGCUAACGCAUUAAGCACUCCGCCUGGGGAGUACGACCGCAAGGUUGAAACUCAAAGGAAUUGACGGGGGCCCGCACAAGCGGUGGAGCAU